rnacentral:rRNA from 1 species
GACGAACGCUGGCGGCGUGCUUAACACAUGCAAGUCGAACGGUGAAAGCGGAGCUUGCUCCGCUGGAUCAGUGGCGAACGGGUGAGUAACACGUGGGCAACCUGCCCCUCACUUCGGGAUAACUCCGGAAAACCGGGGCUAAUACCGGAUACGACCUCCUUGGGCAUCCUGGGAGGUGGAAAGUUUUUCGGUGAGGGAUGGGCCCGCGGCCUAUCAGCUUGUUGGUGAGGUAGUGGCUCACCAAGGCGACGACGGGUAGCCGGCCUGAGAGGGCGACCGGCCACACUGGGACUGAGGCACGGCCCAGACUCCUACGGGAGGCAGCAGUGGGGAAUAUUGCGCAAUGGGCGAAAGCCUGACGCAGCAACGCCGCGUGCGGGAUGAAGGCCUUCGGGUUGUAAACCGCUUUCAGCAGGGAAGAAGCCGCAAGGUGACGGUACCUGCAGAAGAAGCACCGGCUAACUACGUGCCAGCCGCCGCGGUAA